rnacentral:rRNA from 1 species
UACAGAGGUCUCAAGCGUUGUUCGGAUUCAUUGGGCGUAAAGGGUGCGUAGGCGGCGAGGUAAGUCGGAUGUGAAAUCCCGGGGCUCAACCCCGGAACUGCAUUCGAUACUGCUUUACUUGAGGACUGGAGAGGAGAUUGGAAUUCACGGUGUAGCAGUGAAAUGCGUAGAUAUCGUGAGGAAGACCAGUGGCGAAGGCGAAUCUCUGGACAGAUCCUGACGCUGAGGCACGAAGGCUAGGGGAGCAAACGGG